AUUGAACGCUGGCGGCAGGCCUAACACAUGCAAGUCGGGCGAGUGGCGGACGGGUGAGUAAUGUAUGGGGAUCUGCCUGAUGGAGGGGGAUAACUACUGGAAACGGUAGCUAAUACCGCAUACCAUCAGAUGAACCCAUAUGGGAUUAGCUGGUAGGUAGUGUAACGGCUUACCUAGGCGACGAUCCCUAGCUGGUCUGAUAGGAUGAUCAUCCACCAUGGAACUGAAAAACGGCCCAGACUCCUACGGUAGGCAGCAGUGGGGAAUAUUGCACAAUGGGCGCAAGCCUGAUGCAGCCAUGCCGCGUGUAUUAAGAAGGCCUUCGGGUUGUAAAGUACUUUCAGCGGGGAGGCGUUACCCGCAGAAGAAGCACCGGCUAACUCCGUGCCAGCAGCCGCGGUAAUAC
rnacentral:rRNA from 1 species